rnacentral:rRNA from 1 species
CUACGGGUCGCUCCAGUGGGGAAUAUUGCACAAUGGAGGAAACUCUGAUGCAGCAACGCCGCGUGGAGGAUGACACUUUUCGGAGCGUAAACUCCUUUUAUAUAGGAAGAAGAUGACGGUACUAUAUGAAUAAGCGCCGGCUAACUCCGUGCCAGCAGCCGCGGUAAUACGGAGGGCGCAAGCGUUACUCGGAAUCACUGGGCGUAAAGCGCGUGUAGGCGGAUUAAAAAGUCAGAAGUGAAAUCCUAUAGCUUAACUAUAGAACUGCUUCUGAAACUCUUAAUCUAGAAUAUGGGAGAGGUAGAUGGAAUUUCUGGUGUAGGGGUAACAUCCGUAGAGAUCAGAAGGAAUACCGAUUGCGAAGGCGAUCUACUAGAACAUUAUUGACGCUGAGACGCGAAAGCGUGGGGAGCAAACAGGAUUAGAUACCCCAGUAGUC